UACGGAGGGUGCAAGCGUUAUCCGGAUUCACUGGGUUUAAAGGGUGCGUAGGAGGGCAGGUAAGUCAGUGGUGAAAUCUCCGAGCUUAACUUGGAAACUGCCGUUGAUACUAUCUGUCUUGAAUAUUGUGGAGGUGAGCGGAAUAUGUCAUGUAGCGGUGAAAUGCUUAGAUAUGGCAUAGAACACCAAUUGCGAAGGCAGCUCGCUACACAAAUAUUGACUCUGAGGCACGAAAGCGUGGGGAUCAAACAGG
rnacentral:rRNA from 1 species